rnacentral:rRNA from 1 species
GUGGGGAAUAUUGGACAAUGGGCGAAAGCCUGAUCCAGCCAUGCCGCGUGUGUGAAGAAGGUCUUCGGAUUGUAAAGCACUUUAAGUUGGGAGGAAGGGCAGUAACCUAAUACGUUGCUACUUUGACGUUACCGACAGAAUAAGCACCGGCUAACUUCGUGCCAGCAGCCGCGGUAAUACGAAGGGUGCAAGCGUUAAUCGGAAUUACUGGGCGUAAAGCGCGCGUAGGUGGUUCAGUAAGUUGGAAGUGAAAUCCCCGGGCUCAACCUGGGAACUGCUUUCAAAACUGCUGAGCUAGAGUACGGUAGAGGGUGGUGGAAUUUCCUGUGUAGCGGUGAAAUGCGUAGAUAUAGGAAGGAACACCAGUGGCGAAGGCGACCACCUGGACUGAUACUGACACUGAGGUGCGAAAGCGUGGGGAGCAAACAGGAUUAGAAACCCCGGUAGUCC